rnacentral:rRNA from 1 species
UACGUAGGAGGCGAGCGUUGUCCGGAUUUACUGGGCGUAAAGAGCGCGCAGGCGGCCUGUCAAGUAAGGUGUGAAAUCUCCCUGCUCAACGGGGAGGGUGCAUUUUAGACUGGCAAGCUAGAGGACGGUAGAGGGGGGUAGAAUUGCUGGUGUAGCGGUGAAAUGCGUAGAGAUCAGCAGGAAUACCCGUGGCGAAGGCGGCCCCCUGGGCCGAACCUGACGCUGAGGCGCGAAGGCUAGGGGAGCGAACGGG